GGAGACAUGCAGUAGCACAGGUGGCUGCAUGGUUGUCGUCAGCUCGUGUCGUGAGAUGUUGGGUUAAGUCCCGCAACGAGCGCAACCCUUGAUCUUAGUUGCCAUCAUUAAGUUGGGCACUCUAAGGUGACUGCCGGUGACAAACCGGAGGAAGGUGGGGAUGACGUCAAAUCAUCAUGCCCCUUAUGACCUGGGCUACACACGUGCUACAAUGGACGGUACAAAGAGCUGCAAGACCGCGAGGUGGAGCUAAUCUCAUAAAACCGUUCUCAGUUCGGAUUGUAGGCUGCAACUCGCCUACAUGAAGCUGGAAUCGCUAGUAAUCGCGGAUCAGCAUGCCGCGGUGAAUACGUUCCCGGGUCUUGUACACACC
rnacentral:rRNA from 1 species